rnacentral:lncRNA from 1 species
CCAGAAAUGGUUUCCAUUCAGCAAAUCCACACCAGCAAUCCUCUUACAGCAAAUUUCCAAGAAACAUAGUUGGAUAACAGUGCUGGACCUAAAAAAGGUAUUGGCCCAUGAGUGCCUCUCUCUCCCCUGCCUGAGCUCCCUGACCAGCAUGCGUGUGGCCUCCAGGUGUGUUGUCUACCCCCCAGGAUCUGCCAAGCGCGGUGGCUCAUGCCUGUAAUCCCAGCACUUUGGGAGGCCGAGGAGGGAAGAUCACGAGGUCAAGAUAUCGAGACCAUCCCGGCCAACAUGGUGAAACCCCAUCUCUACUAAAAAUAGAAAAAUUAGCUGGGCGUGGUGGUACAUGCCUGUAGUCCCAGCUACUCGGGAGGCUGAGGCAGCAGAAUCGCUUGAACCUGGGAGGUGCAGGUUGCAACACGCUACUAAUUCCAGCCUGGUCGACAGAGCAAGACUCUGUCU